rnacentral:rRNA from 1 species
GGUACCCGAGGAAUAAGCGUCGGCUAACUACGUGCCAGCAGCCGCGGUAAGACGUAGGACGCGAGCGUUAUCCGGAUUUACUGGGCGUAAAGCGCCUGUAGGCGGCUUUGUAAGUUGGGCGUGAAAGCCCCGUGCUUAACGCGGGGAGGCCGUUCAAUACUGCGGAGCUAGAGUACGGCAGAGGGGAGUGGAAUUCCUGGAGUAGCGGUAAAAUGCGCAGAUAUCAGGAGGAACACCAGUGGCGAAGGCGGCUCCCUGGGCCGAGACUGACGCUCAGAGGCGAAAGCUAGGGGAGCGAACAGGAUUAGAGACCCUGGUAGUCCUAGCCCUAAACGAUGGAUGCUAGGUGUGGGGACGAGGAGUUUCCGUGCCGGAGCAAACGCGAUAAGCAUCCCGCCUGGGGACUACGGCCGCAAGGUUAAAACUCAAACGAAUUGACGGGGGCCCGCACAAGCAGCGGAGCGUGUGGUUUAAUUCGAUGCUACACGAAGAACCUUACCUGGGUUUGACAUGUAGGUGGUAGCGAGGCGAAAGCUGAGCGACCCUUCGGGGAGCCUACACAGGUGCUGCAUGGCUGUCGUCAGCUCGUGCCGUGAGGUGUCGGGUUAAGUCCCGUAACGAGCGCAACCCUUGCUCCUAGUUAUACGUGUCUAGGGGGACUGCCGGCGGGAAGCCGGAGGAAGGUGGGGAUGACGUCAAGUCAGCAUGGCCCUUAUGUCCAGGGCUACACACACGCUACAAUGGCCAGUACAAAGGGUAGCGAAGCCGCGAGGUGGAGCGAAUCUCAGCAAAGCUGGUCGUAGUUCGGAUUGCAGGCUGCAACCCGCCUGCAUGAAGCUGGAGUU